ACUCAGCGUAGGCUCUUUGGUGUCCUCUGAGCCUCCCAGUCAACAGCAGUUGAAUGUGCGGUCGCAGGGUCGGCUGCCUCUCUGGGUGUGCGUUUUGUUGGGAGAAACCUGUCUUUUGUAAGCAGAGGUAGCGGAAAGAAAAUGUGGGCUUUGGAGCCAGACACGGGAUCCUGUCUCAUGAUGAAUGUAGCUCAAUUUCCCACCGCAGCCAGUGGCAUAUUGCUUCAUAAAUGCCUAUAAAAAAAAUGGAAAACAGAGCUGGAGCGAAUGCAGCCCAGACCUUCUCCGUAUGUGUAUUCUUUGUUUAUGGUGGCGUUUUGCUUUGUUUUGUUGCAGCUGGGGAUCCGUUGUAGUCUUUUUCCUCCUCGGUAGCUCAGAGGCAGUGAGCUAGGGCUUCUGGGGGCCCCACGGUCCAGAGGGUUCUGCCUGUGGCGUAUCGACCUAGAGAGCCAGCCCAGGAGCCCAGUCCAUCACUCCUGAUUUGACCCUGUCCUGUUUACUCUGUCGGGGUAAAAGCGCAGGCCAGGCUCGGCUCGUCGGUGCAUGACUUUGUCAGAGGCAGGCUUGGCUACUCCGAGUCAGCCUGAACAAAUUACCUCCCUCACGCCAUCGCCGAACCGGGAGCAGGGUUAUAACUCAGUCUAAGCACCGGUCCCUCUCCUCUUGCCUUCAUAACCAAGGUCAUACUAAUCAGCUCAAUUACCAGUCCUCUCGGACAUUUUCAUAAUGUUUUCUGCUAGUUGCUCUCCUGUGAAAAUCUCUCGGUCUAAGCAAAUUAAUGCCAUUUUUAUAACCAUCUCCAUUUCAGGUACAGUGGUCUCCUUUGAAAAGACUGUAUCGCCGGCCACAUAAACUAGCUUUCCCUCCCAGCAUAACAUCCAGACAAGGUUGGGGUAUUGCCCUCGUCCGUUCUGGAUUUUUUUUUUUUUUUUAAAUACAUAAUGCAGAGAAAUGGUCUGGUUUUUAGGGAAACCUGAAAUCACAAGGAGCUUUGGUCGCUUCUGGGGGCAGAGCAUUGAAUCGCCUCUCUACCCUCUCACCCAUUCCCAACUUGGCAGCAAGCUGGGCAUUUCAGCCGGGCUUUUCCAGCCUGCACUUCCCGAGAUGGGAGAAGGUGGAAUUGCAUUAUUCCCCUCGAAGGGGGUAGUCGUAAUCCUGAUGAGUUUGCAAAUGUGUUUCCUUUUGCCUUCCCUUUGCCCCAUCUCACGUCACACCCCCUCCCCAGUCCACCCCCCACCCCGCCCCCGACACACACACACACACACACACUUUGAGAGCCGCUGGGGGGCGAUUGUAUAGCCUUCUGUCUUUCAGAUGUUUUUUCAGGUUAUCUAAUGUGAUUCCCAUAGCAGAUCUAUGAGCGUUCGAAAUCACCCCAUUUGGGCAAUAGCCCAUAUUUUGAAAAUUUCCUAACAGCACAAUUGCUGGGUAGCUUGUGCCUUGAAGGCGUUAGAUGGACUGGUGUUCUGAGUGGGUGCUGGUUAAGGGCCAUCCAGGUGCAAAAUGCAAACCACUGCUUUUCUUGAGCACAGGAAGCUAACCAGGGCACACGGUGACUGCUGGCUUUUCGUCUCUGAACGGCCACCUCUGGUGCAUGCUCAAAUUAUUAAUUAAAACGAAGCCCUGUAAUGCCGUGUCUGCAUCCAGUAGAAUGUGUCUUGCUCAUGGUAGGCCCUGACUAAAGCCCAGGUGAAUGAAUAAAUUAUUGCUCCACCUAUUAACCCUUCAAUGGACUCGCUUCUUUGCUCAGAAGAGACACCAAGCCGCGUAGAGAGGGCAACACUGAUUUCAGCUUCAUCUGAAAUGAUUCUUCAUUCCUUUAUUUUAAAAAAAGGAGCUGGGAGCAACGAAGCCAACAGGACACAGGGCUAGCAGUUCCACUCGUGAGUGGUGAGAAUAAAUGUUUUCCCACGCGUUCCAGCGUGGUUUUCAGACUAUUACAUUUCUCCCCAAACAUGCAUGUAAUGAUGGGGAGGUCUGGCUGGGCCUGGACCUCGAAGUCAGGGCAGGCGUUAGGUAAUAGAGCCAGCUCCGUGUACCCAUCAGGCACUGGGCCAGAACACGGUGCUGUACUGGUGUCUAGCGUCUCGUGGGAUUCUUCCCAUCCUGGGUCUUCUCAUCCUCUCCACCUGGAAGUCAGGAAAACUGAGACCCAGAAUGCCUGGGUCACUUUCCCAAGGUUGCACAAGCCAAAGGAGACAGAGACGAGCUUUAGGCCACAGUGAACUCACAUUCCCUGCUUUUGUUUUGCUGUGGUUGAUGUUUUUUUUGGGGUUUUCUUACAAACAUUUAAAAAACUGAGGUAUCACUCUCUCAACAGUCAUUUAUGCAUUUAAAAUAUACAAUUCUGGAAUUCCCGCUGUGGCUCAGUGGAAACGAGGAUGCAGUUUCAAUUCCUGGCUUUGCUCAGUGGUUAGGGGAUCCGGCACUGCUGUGAGCUGUGGUGUAGCUCACAGACGAGGCUUGGAUCCUGUGUUGCUGUGGCUGUGGUGUAGGCCAGUGGCUGUAGCUCCGAUUCAACCCCUAGCCUGGGAACUUCCAUACGCUGUGGGCACAGCCCUCAAAAAGCAAAAAUAUAUAUACAUAUAUAUAAAAUAUACAAUUCUUCUCUCCAUACAAAAUAAAAUGAGGGAUCUAAUUCAUUGGCAUUUGGUAAAUUUGCAGUGUUGCACCACCAUAACCUCCCUCUAGUUUCAAAACCCUCUCAUCAUCCCAGAAAUCCACCCUAUACCCACUAAAUAAUCACUUCUCGUUCCUCUCUGCCCACUCAUUUACUUUUGGUCUCUAUGGAUUUGACUGUUCUGGACAUUUCCUAUCAAAACAGUCAUAAAACAUGUGAGCUUUUGUGUCUGACUUCUUCUUUCACUUAGCACAGUGUUCUUGAGUUCACCUCAGCUGUAGCCUGUGCCAGUACUUCAUUUUUAACAGCUGCAUAAUAUUCCACGAUAUCAAUAUAGCACACUGUUCCUUAAGUUCUUUCUGCAGAAAGAGUUAAGGAGGCUCCUCAGGUAACUGUAAUCAUCCCCGAGGGACCUGCUCAGCUCACAGCACUGCGCGCGUGUGUAGCUGGAAUAGCCGGGAGGCAUCCAGUCCCCUGUUAUUUCCGUCUGUCUCCGCACCCUUUCCCACCCUAUUCAAGCUCUAUAUUACCCACGAGUGAAGGAAGAUGGGCAACCUACAGACGUGGAGGGAGGUGGAGAGUGACACCUAGCCUUCCUGAGUGCCAGCUAGAAUCCUGGGCACUUUCACCUCUGCAUCACUCUCUUCAGCACUCCUCAGGGAAGGGGAAGAAAUCCAGCCACAAAUUUAAACAAACUUCAAAGGAAACAGAGUUUGGAGAUCUCCCUUAGCUUGCCUGGCAUCACAGAGCUUGUUUGCAUCCCAUCCGGAGACCAGAAUUGGGUCUCUCCACGCCUCGUGGGCUGCCAUGGCCUCUAAGUCCUUCCUUCAUAUUUUGGAAAACUUUAAAAAAAAAGAGUGGGAGAUAUGAAGCAAACCUUGAAAAAGUUCAAGGUUCUUCAGAGUUCCCGUUGUGGUUCAGCAGGUUAAGAAUUGACUUGUCUCCGUGAGGAUGCAGGUUUGAUCCUUGGCCUCGCUCAGUGAGUUAAGGGUCCGGCAUUGCUGCAAGCUGCCGUGUAGGUCACCUCUGCAGCUCAGAUCCCACGCUGCUGUGGCGGCAGCUCCAAUUCGACCCCUACUCUGGGAACUUCCAUAUGCUGCGGGUGCCGCAAAACAGGGUGCCUUCCGCUUUAAAGCCUGGGCUACAGCUCGAUCCCAGAGCCUCUUUACAGAUCUUUUAAGCCUUUAGAGAGAAAGUUGUAGAGAGUCUGGUACACAUCAAUCCUGUGGGCUGGGCAGGUGCUUUUGCUAUUUUACAAACCAAAGCCCUCUCAACCGCCCCUGCCCCCCGUCCCCCGCUCACCAUCUUGAAAAGUCAACAGAUUUGGCCCCAGGGUGGUGGCCAGGAAGCUAUGACUCAGGACAGAACGUCCCCUGUGUCUAAAGUCUCCCACUUGGCAGGCAGCGGCUUCUGCCUAAGUCGAUUUUUCCCGACUCUGGCCUGGAGCUUGUUUUUAUCAUGUCCAGGGUCCCACUUGCAGGUCAGAGAGCACAGAAAGCCUUCGCUCCCAAGACCCAGGCCAGAAAGGCCAUCCAGGCCUGAACAGCAUGGCGGUGCCUGGCCUCACUGCACUUCUCCACCUGGAAGAUGGAGGGCUGUGUAGACAUGCGUUGUUUUCCUGUGGUCCCCCUCAGCCCCUGUUCUUGGAAUUCCCAAAAAUGGCAGGCAGGCCUCCUUUGCCUCUCUUCCCACCACCCCCAACUCCCCAGUCCCUCUGCUGUCCUUCUGAAUCCAGGGAAGGCCCUCCAGCCCAGAAUUCGGUACAGGGCAGAGCAAGUGCCAACGUGUCCUUCCUGCUUCACACACAUGGCUAAAGCCAGAAACAGAUGUGGAAGCCAGCAGUGGACAGGAGGGCCUUCUAGCCAAACAGUCAUCGGACGGGGCCUGCGAAGCAGGUGGUAGGUAGGGUAGCUGGAGAGCCCCAGAUCAAGGGUCAGAGGCCUGGUGGUAGCCCAGCCUUGACACAGACCCCCUUUGUGACUCCAGGAAUGUCCCUUGUCCUCUCUGGACCCUUUUCCUGAAUGGGAACUAUGAGAGGGGUCCAGCUGAAACUGGCAUCUGUUAGGAGAGUUCUUAGAGCAGGCCACACCCUCCCAAGUAGCUCAGCAGGACAGGCCCUGUGGACCAGCACCCAGAGCUCUCCUGUAACACAGCACAAUCUUUUUUUCUUUUUUCUUUUUCUUUGUUGGCCACCCCACAGCAGAUGGAGUUCCCAGGCCAGGUAUCAGGAUGUAGCCGCAGUAGCAACCUACACCCCAACUGUCGCAAUGCCGGCAUUGUGCCGGGCCUGGGAUCAAACCUGCGUCCUGGGUCUGCUGAGAUGCCACUCAUCCCUUUGUGCCACAGUGGGAACUCCAGACAUCACAGUCUUCAGGACAGCCUCCCUGCUUGUCCCACAAGGAGAUUUCAGACCAGCUGAGAUGACCAGCUCAGCGAUCCCAACUCGUCGUUGUCUCCACUAUCUCAGGAGAAGUUUCUGAAAUGCCCUUCAGUCAUCCAGUCUCCCAUGUGUGGUCAGGAGAAACAGUUUCCUGUUGAGUGCCCUGUGUUUCUUCUGCAUGUUUCCUUUUACAAACAUCAUCACAUUGAAUCCUCACCAACAUCCUGAUGGCACUGUCAUCAUCUCUGAUUUACGGUUGAGGAAAUACGGGAUCAGAAAGAGUAAAUGAUUUACCCCAGGUCAUGCAGCUAGCAAGUAGGAGAAUUGGAAUUUGACCCAGCUCUGACUCCAAAAGCCCUUGUCUCUGCUGCCUUCGGAUGCAUUUUCUUUUCUUUUCUUUUUCUUUUUCUUUUUUUUUUUUUUUUUUUUUUUUUUGUCUUUCUGCCAUUUCUUGGGCCGCUCUCGCAGCAUGUGGAGGUUCCCAGGCUAGGGGUCCAAUCGGAGCCUGUAGCCGCCAGCCUACACCAGAGCCACAGCAACACGGGAUCCAAGCUGCAUCUGCAACCUACACCACAGCUCACGGCAAUGCCGGAUCCUUCACCCACGGAGCGAGGCCAGGGAUCGAACCCACAACCUCAUGGUUCCUAGUCGGAUUCGUUAACCACUGCGCCACGAUGGGUACUCUGGAUGCAUCUUCUUGUGAGGAACAUCCUACAACCACACUGAUAUGAUCACUUAAUUUUAUCUUUGGAUAAAGAUGGUACCAGUCUCAUCAGUCACUGAAUUGUAUGUGUGCUCUAGAUAAUGACUGAUUGAGAAAAUUAAAUGUGGUAUAAAUUACUUCCCUGGGAGUAAAUGAUCGCAUGAACCCAUCGUACAAGAUACAGUUUUUACU
rnacentral:lncRNA from 1 species